rnacentral:tRNA from 1 species
GCGUCCUUAGCUCAACUGGAUAGAGUGGCUGGCUUCGAACCAGUAGGUUGGGGGUUCGAGUCCCUCAGGACGUGCCA